ensembl:lncRNA
GUUUUCUUAAAGUACGUCUUAAAUUAUGUCACAGACAGAAAAACGCAAAAUGUUUUUUGCACUUUGCCCCGAAUGGAGUUGUAAUGAUAACCAAUGAAAUGAUAUUUCCCUAGACCGCCACAGGAAUAUUAACAGCAUUCAGAUAGUAACGAUGAUGUGUAACGCUGUGUCACACUGCAGCCUCUGCUGAAAGUGCAAAUCUGGAGACAUCACAGAAGCUGGCCGCUGAUUAUGAGUUCGAUUAUUACUUCACCAUUGAGAUCAUGAACCGCAUCUACAACGAUUCCCUCACCGACCCCGAUUCUCCUUAUUAUAAGAUGAUGUACAGUGAAGUUAGCGGCGCAGUGAGUGUUCACUUCAUAUUUGCUUUCACAGACACGUUGUAUACAUUGAACAUCAGGCAUUUAAUACCCCGAUUACGAAAAACUUGGGACAGUAUGGGAACUGCUCAUUAAAAACAGUGAUUUGUAAAUGAACUUUGACUUGUAUUUGAUGUUUUAUCUAAUCAACCGCAUAGUUUUUUUUUUAAGGUAAAUGUUUAUUUUGAAAUUGCAUGCAACACGUUCCAAAAAAGUUGGGACAAGGGAAAUUUAGGACUAAUAGCGAUGUGACGAGUUGAAAUAAGAAGGUGAUGUGAAACAGGUGAGACAAUCAUCUAAUCAUAGUAUAUAAGUAGCCUCCAAAAAAUGUAUUUCAUCAGCAAGGAUGGGUCGAGGUUCGGCAAUCUGCCAACAGAUGCAUCAGAGAAUAAUCCGACACUUUGAGAAGAACAUUUCCCAAAGACAAAUCGGUAGGAUUUCGGGCAUUUCACUUUCUACAGUGCACAAUAUAAUUAAAAGAUUCAAGGAAUCCGGUCAAAUCUCGGUGCGUAAAGGGCGAGGCCGUAAACCACUUCCGAAUGCUGCUGAUCUCCGAUCCCUCAGACGUCACUGUCUUAAAAACCGUCUUGAGUCUGUAUUGGAGAUCCUGACAUGGGCUCGGGAAUACUUUGGUAAACCUUUGUCAGUCAACACCUUUCGCCGCUGCAUCCACAGAUGUAAGUUAAGGCUUUACUAUGCAAAGCAGAAGCCACACAUCAACAUUGUCCAGAAGUGCCGCCGACUUCUAAGGACUCUAUGGUCUGUCAUGGUAUGGGGGUGUGUCAGUGCCCAUGGUGUGGGUGACUUUAUCUAUCAUUAAUGCAGAAAGAUAUGUACACAUUUUGGAGCAAUAUACACUGCCAUCCAGAGCAGGACAACGCCAAACCACAUUCUGCCCGGAUUACAAGCGCAUGGUUGCGUAAGCAGAGAGUGUGGAUGUGAGCAUGGCCUCCCUGCAGUCCUGACCUGUCUCCCAUUGAGAAAAUGUUGCGCAUUAUGAAGUCCCCGUACAGUUGCACAGCUGAAGAAAUACGUAAUGGAUGAACAGGGAAAAUUCCGCUUGCUAAACUUAACCAACUGGUGUCUUCACUCAAAUGCUUAAUAAGUGUUAAAAGAAAAUGAGAUGUUACACAGCGGUAAACAGACGACUGUCCCAACUUUUUUGGAGUGUGUAGCAGUCAUCAGAUUUGAAAUGAGUGUAUAUUUUAAAAAAUAAAUUAAGUUCACAAAGUAUUGGGGUUAUAAAUUCUAACCAUCAAAUAUAUCAGGCAUGCAAAUACAUAUGGUACUCUAAGCUGCUACAUUUAACCUUGAUUUGUUUAUUUUUAAGUUCUACUCUGUCUUUGGCUGCUCCAGCUGUCCCAAUAGUGCAGCUUAUCAUGGUGUGACAUCCAUGAGUUUCAGGUACAAUACUUCAGUACUAAGUGCAGUAAAAGCAGUUAGCUAACAGAUUACGAUAAUCACCUCAUAUUAUUAUUUAUUAUUACAGAAAGGGAUCAGUGAUUGCAGACACCACCAUUGCGUUCAAAGGUACUCUGACCAAUCCCAUUUUGCUCAAAUUCAUUUUUCUGGAUGGCCUCAACAGCAAUAAUGAAAUUAAUGGCCUUCAAAUCAACCCUGAUACCGUACAGGACUCUUAUGUAACAACCACAACACCAACAACCAAGACAACACUGACAACAACAACUACUACCACAUCUCCCACCACAACAAUAACCACCACAACACUGACAACAACCACUACCACUACAACAACCACAAGACCAACAACAACCACCACAAUACCAACAACCACCACAACACCAACAACAACAAUCACUACCACAACCACCACAACACCAACAACCACCACAACACCAACAACAACAGUCACUACCACAACCACAAGACCAACAACCACCACAACACUGACAACAACAACCAUUACCACAACCACAAGACCAACAACCACCACAACACCACCGACAACAACCACAACACCAGCCACACCAACAAAAACCACCACCACAACUACCACACCAAACACAACCACCACAAAACAGAAAACAACCACAGCAACUAGCAAAGAAACCUCCAGGCCUCCAAUUCCCCACCCAACAAUGCAUCCAGAACACAUUUCCUCCAGCACCAGCAAUAAGUCCUCUUCCAACACAACAAGCAGUCAUUCAGUAAGCAGCCCUGAGACCCACACUGGAGUUACAAACCCUUCCUCCACCAACAACAAAGAUAGCAGAACAGAACAUGUUCUCACGAACAGCAGCCCAUCAUCUAACCAGGGUGAAGGAGUCCCUGGCUGGGCGAUCGCUUUACUCGUGCUGGCUGCCAUCGCCAUCCUGCUCCUCAUCAUCAUAAUCAUCAUCCUGCUGCUAAGAUGGUGCUGUGUGGAUAAUGGCGACGACGUUCGUUCUCUGCCACCACAAGAACACACUCCCUACAUGAGAACCACCUUCAGAGAGCCGCUGUCUGUUCCAGCUUACAGCCCUCACACAGCGCAAAAGAACCUUUAUCCUUUCGACGAUCUACCUCAAAGCCCAAAACCUAAACCCAACCGGACAGGGACGUACGAGGUGAACCCAGAGAAAUAAUGAAGUUAAGCGGCAAAGCUGUAACUGAGGUAUGUCACGAACAUGCACAAACUUCACUGUGUUUUCCAAAGUCUUGUUUUUUUUUUUUUUUCUUAGUCUGUAGCUAGCGCUAACUUUUAUACUGCAAAGUCAUUUCUCAUUUUCUACAUUGGACUGAUUGUAAAACAGGCCUGUGGAAGGACAAUGGAAAACUAAGGCUCGGUUAUAAAAAGACAUACACUAUGGGUCAAAAGUUUGUGGACAUUCGACUGAACUAUUUCUCAUGAUCUUAAAAACCUUUUGAUCUGAAGGUGUACGAUUAAAUGUUUGAAAUCGGUAAACUUUUGUCCGGUAGCAUAAUAUUUUUAGAAAUCCUAGUAAUCACACUAGAAGAAAUGAGUAGAAUUCACACAGACAACAGCUAAUUAUGAAGCGAAUUACAGGCGAACACUUUUUACCAGACACCUGUUUUGGGGGUUCCCAUGUUCAGCACUAGAUUUAUUUGCGACGUCACACUCCACAGUAGGUGUUAAUGGCUCAUAUGAAAGCAGACACUCAAAGUAUUUAUUUCCCCCCAGCCUACUAGGUUUAAAUGUUAUAUUUUUAUUGUGGUACCAAUAAAAAAGCUUUAGUUUCUGUCUGUUUUAUCUCUGCACCAGUAUUGUUGUGGAAAGGUGCGAAUUGUUUGCCCAUGAGGAGGCUCACACCCUUCCAAGUUCCCAUCGCCCUGCUCACCAGCAGCCAAACACAGAGUCACGAUACUCUACACACAGAAACCCAACAGUGUCCUGACUAACCUUACAACAGACGUGUGGCGAUAAAAUAAUUUGUUUGUUUAUACUGAUUGAAAAUGUCCGAUAAGUCGAUUUCGAUUCCGGCGGUGCAAUGGCACGCCAGUGUACUGGGAGAAAUGGUUAAUGAGUGCGGAGUGAAACCUGCAGCAAAGGAUUUUGUUCAGGGGUCAGAACAUGAGUUCCAGUGAAUAUAUGAUAUACUUUGUAUACUUCUCUGGGUACAACCUUCAGAAUGCUGGAAGCGGAAAUUUGAUUGGCACUUCACAUUUCUAUGCACUGAUUUCUGCUAAACUUUUGAAGACUGCAGCCCAGCGAGGACACUGCUUUAUUGUAACACGAUGCAUUUACGUUUAUGACAUUUGGCGGACGCCCUUACCCAAAGCGACUUACAUUUGUCUCAUUUAUACAUCUGAGCAGUUGAGGGUUAAGGACCUUGCUCAAGGGCGCAGCAGUGGCAGCUUGGCGGUGCUGGGGUUUCAAUUCAUGACCUUCCAAUUAGUAGACCACUGAGCUACCCAUGAAUAGUCACUGGUUAAAAAUAGGUCACGGAGUUCAUUUCAUCUUUAAAAGUUAUUCAAAGGUUUUGUGUGAAGCACAACAAUGACCAUCCUUUAGUUGGGCAUCUGCUGUGCCAGUCAAAUGUGUGAAAGUUGGCCCCGUUUACUGCAAAAACAUACCAGACUCUGUAGCAACGCUAGUGAUCUGGCUUGGGAGACUACAGAAGCAACUCUAACAGGACAAAAACUAAGCCAGUCUCCUCCGGUAUAAGUCUGUACGCUAUUUUAGAGGCAGGACAAACAUACUGAUGCCUGGUAGAUUAAUAUUACGAAUUCUCUCGUGAAGCUUUCUUCAGCAUCUUGUUAAUCAGUUAGAGCCACCAGUCCAAAACCAUGCCACGUUUCCUCCCUUUAAAACAACAAGCAACGGCGUUAAAAGAAAACAUGAAGCUAUGGUGAUUCCUUUAUGGGGUUGUUUUAUUUUGUGUGUGUGUGUGUGUAUGUAUGUGUGUGUGCGAAAGCUAUUGAAGCCAUUGUAUAUGAAGUCUUUUCACUCUGAGCAAACAUUAAGCUAAGUACCACAGUCAUCACCUUCUCUGCUAUCGUUUGUAUAACACCCAUCCGCUACUGUUCUACAAUCGUUCUUUAAUGCAGACAAACAGGCUGUGGUUGACUCUCGGUCACCUGGGAUUAGAGAGAGUGAUUUUAAUUCUGUACAUCCAUGAUAAAUCGAUCCUUCAGCGCAUGACGUGAGCGCAACAGGUCUGAUUCAGCGCACUUACUGGGAGUGGCUUGCUUUAAACAAAGACCAGUGUACUAAUGUAAAGGCGCUAAACACUAAACACUGGCCCGCUGCAUUUACUCAACUGGGAGCUUUCACCCAAACCCGAUAUAAUUCAGUUUGAGCACAGAGGUGAGCAGUUGAGGCUCGUUAACUUCUAACAGAACAUUUCAAAUCUACCAGGUUUAUAGCUUAUAACAACUAAAAAGUUACAGGUUUACCUCUGACUGUUAAAAAACGCUGACACAGGAGACUCCUUCCAUAAAUAUGAAAUAAACAUCUCUGUACUGAAAAUGUCACCAUAUCGACAAUCACGCUAUAUGUAUUUGUCACUAUAGAAACGAUAACGUAUUAGAAAGAGCGCAUUGAUAUAAACCUGUGAUUAACUGCUGUCCGAGCUGCUGUUAUAGGAAAUUAAUCAACGCCUUAUUAAACAGCCAUCUAAACUGACCCUUAACUCUUUUUGGGACACUUAUAAAGGUCAAUAAAUGACUCGUUUUAUGACGAUUUGGCACAGAAUCUAUGGGAUCAUCAGAUAUUAUCAAUCCAUGACAACCAAAUAUAUACAUAAUGCCGUAAGCUUAUUUAUAUAUCCACCGUGUCUAACGGUCACGCCUUUGGCCGACACAUCCUCACCCUGUUACUCAGUCAGAAUGCAGAAUGUGGUGAGAGAAUAAGCCGGGGAAGGGCUUGUGCAAUCAAAGCUCACUCCUACACGGUUCUUUAUGACUCCGAAUGGCCAAAAUGUCCACAACUGACUCAUUUCACCAUGAGUCGGCACGUGCUGGUGAAAUGCGAGACGCUGGAGAAAACUUCAGCGCUUAUACAGUUGAGAAAAGCUCGAAAAGUAUUAGUGACCUACUGUACGUCGGUCAAAUAUGGGUUCAUUUACGUUUAUUCACGUUUAUCCACGUUUAUCCCAGUGGAUCUUCAUGUGAGCCGAGCUCCAACCCAGUGACAGCUGAGAUGUCGAGGUUUAAAUGAAUCAUUCCGGCAGAAAUCAAAUUUUGCCACAAACCUCAAAUGUAAAUUGAUCAGCCAGGACAUGACUGAAGUUUUUGGUGGGCUUUAAGAUGGCUGCUAGUAUUGCUUACAUAGUUUUGUUUAUUUCCCGACAUAUUAAAAACCAAUUUGAUAUGAUUUGAGUUGAGUUUUUGUACGUAAGGUUUUCAUCAGCCUCGAGACUCCACUGCAGAAUUAAAGAAGCUGAUUUCAGACAGCAAACAUUUCCUGGCUGUCAACGGUCCAACAGCUCUGAGAGUAAAUGCGUAAUUAGCCCAAAACUGAAAGACUACAAAAUAAUGGAUUUUUGGCCCAAUUUCAAGUAAAUGCUUUAUUAAUGGAAUCUUACUUUUGGGCCACUUUUGGCACACAUUACCCCGGACAUUGCCAUAAGCCAUAAUGCACUUAAACUCAACCAAAAUCUGGCAAAGAGUCUGGCAGGUCUGAGAUUUUAACCUUCACUUUUCUCAUAAAACUGAGUGUGAAGCCCGGGUUCAACGUUAUAUUCUUUUUUUUACAUUUUAUCCAAAGCUAAUGACUGUUAUGUUCACUCUUACAGAUUUUAAAGAGUUGCUGUGGACUGAAAAACGGUGUGGACGCCACCUGCUCAUGACGUCCGCUUCUCGACAAAAAUCAUCAUCUCAGGAAUAUGUAUAAGUAUUAUAGCCAAGUCAUAUAAAAAUUGGUGUCAUACUAUUUAUUAUCCAUUUAUUUAAAGUGAUUCUGAGGCAAGCGCUUUGAAUCUUAUCUGAGGGAAAGAUCUACAGUCACAAUUAAGCAAAAAACAACGGUAAAUGGCA